GGGAAGAGCCCAGCACCGAAUCCCGCGGCCGAUACCGGGCGCCGGGAAAUGUGGUGUUUGGGAGGGUCCAUUAUCCCGAGGUUACGCGGCGCGUCCAAGUCCUUCUUGAACGGGGCCACAGCCCAUAGAGGGUGCCAGGCCCGUAGUGACCGCCGCUGAUCGCGGGAGGAUCUCUCCUCAGAGUCGGGUUGCUUGAGAGUGCAGCCCUAAGUGGGUGGUAAACUCCAUCUAAGGCUAAAUAUGACCACGAGACCGAUAGCGAACAAGUACCGUGAGGGAAAGUUGAAAAGCACUUUGAAGAGAGAGUUCAAGAGUACGUGAAACCGUUUAGGGGUAAACCUGAGAAACCCGAAAGGUCGAAGGGAGAAAUUCAUUCGCGUUUCGUCGCAGGCGUCGGGCGGGGUCGAGUGACGGAAAGCGUUCGCGCGCUUUUCGCGCCCUCCGUUCGACGAACCGGUAACGAACGCGUGCACUUUUCUCCUGGUAGGACGUCGCGAUCCGUUGGGUGUCGGUCUACGGCUCGCGGUGGAGUCCGGUCGUACGUUUCGCGACGUACGGCUGGACCCGCGUAUCCCGGCUGACUCGCUCGACGGUAUAAGAAAGGUUUAAGGCCGCUCUCUCGGAGCGUUCGGCUCUCGGCAAGCGCGCCAGAUGCGUCGGCGAUCGGACCCGGUGCCGAUUCUGACCUCUGGUGACUGUUGGCCGAGAAGUUCUCGAACAGACCUUCUCGCUAAAACCGAUCUGCGACGCUAUAGCUUUGGGUACUUUCAGGACCCGUCUUGAAACACGGACCAAGGAGUCUAGCAUGUGCGCGAGUCAUUGGGAAUCACUAAACCUAAAGGCGCAAUGAAAGUAAAGGUCCCCCUCGCGGGGACU
rnacentral:rRNA from 1 species